AAGGAUCAUUACAGUAUGGAGAUCAAAGGGGGUUGGAUGCUGGCCCGCGAGGGCACGUGCGCGCCUCCGUUUUUCUUACACGCACACCCGUGCACCCAUUGGCGGCGGGGGACCGCCGCCUCUUUUAAUCUCAGCCUGUCAGAACGCAUGUGUCUAACGAUUCUAACGAAUACAACUUUCGACAACGGAUCUCUUGGCUUUUGCAUCGAUGAAGAACGCCGCGAAAGUGCGAAACGUAAUGUGAAUUGCAGAAUUCAGUGAAUCAUCGAAUCUUUGAACGCAUCUUGCGCCCCUUGGUUAAUCCGAGGAGCAUGCCUGUCUGAGUGUCGUGAAACCCCAUCGACCCUCGCCUUCUUUGUCGAAGGUGUUAGGGUUGGAUUUGGAUGUAUGCGGCGGGAUCCGUCCCUGCCGCUCGUCUCUAAAUGCAUUAGCUGGGCCCCUUCGAACCGGCUUGUCGACGACGGUGUGAUAAUUAACGUUGUGGCGCCGUUUGGUCGGUUCGAAUCAUGGGGGGUCUGCUUACAAUCCCGGGGGGGGCUGCCGUAGAUUGCCCUUCCCAUUUCAUGUCAUCUGACCUCAGAUCAGGUAGGACUACCCGCCGAACUUAA
rnacentral:rRNA from 1 species